rnacentral:tRNA from 1 species
UCCCUGUUAGCUCAGUUGGUAAAGAAUCUGCCUACAAUGCAGGAGACCCUGGUUUGAUUCCUGGGUGGGGAA